GAAUCAGAAGUGAAAAGUGAAUUAAAAAAAAUAAUAACUUUAACCAAUUUCACCCUUUCACUCAAAAAAUUAAUAUCUCCGGAUCUUGUAUAGUGAAUUCACUAAAUCGUACCUACCAUUUUAGAAUCUUCAUUAAAUAGAUAGAGUUUUUUAUACCAAAGCUGGAUAAAAAAGCAGAAAAUUUUUCGGUUAAAAAAAAUCACAUAAAUUAAGUGGUCUGUACUCCAAUAGUACUUAGAUAUUAUUUUUUGAAAAAUGUUAACAAUUAGUCAGAGCGAACUCUAACAGUUGAAAUUGGCAGAAAAAAUGUAGGUACAUAUAAACCCAAAACGCAAUAAUUAGAGCUGGAAACUUAGGAGAAUUCGAUGAUUUUCCCGUUUCUCCGAUAUUUUUGUAAGGCCAUAUACGUUUUGUUUUGCUUGACUAAAGAGUAUCAUGCUUGUAUGAUGAUUCACUAUUUCUGGGACACCCUGAUUAAAAUUUCUCUCAAUAUUUACAAUUCGUGAUUAUUUAUAAAGCAUUGCAAUUUUCAAAAUAAAACGAAUCGUGAAAAAAGAUGACGUCAAUAAAAACAUGAAUCGUUAUUCUGUAACAGAGUACAACUUGGCACUCAUAAAAUCGCCGGUGAAAAGUGGGUAUUAUAAUUAUUGGAUAGCUACCUAAAUUACAAUGUUUAGGAGCACUGAAGCACGGUCUCAGUAAAAAAUGUGUUGAAUAGGAGGCGCUACAGUAGCAAUAGCAUACAAGGGCGCGCAUAACAGGUAGGUACAUAUUAUAUAACGGCAUAACAGUGGCAUAAUAGGUAUAAUUUAUUAUUUCAAAAAGAUGCCUAAUAUCUACAUAUAGAGGGUUAUAGCAGUCAUAUUACAAUAGCGCCAUCUAUUCAUACAAAGUAAUCAGGUGGAAAGAUUUUUAGUUUGUUUCCUGUUCAAGAUCGUAGGAACUUUAUUUCUUCUCUAUGGAGCAAAUAAACACUGAUUACGUUAUUUCAUAUUUUUAUUCAAUAAAAUCUUAAAAGCUAGAGUUAACAAGUUGGUCACUUGUUUAUUUACAAAUAGUUUCUUAUUUACAUUACUAAAUAUUUAUUAGAUAUGUUACAUUGUACUUUGAUUUUUUAUCGUAUGAAAGUAUGUAUCUACUGUAAGGAUAUGUACUAAAGGAUUGGUAGUGCGUGUGUUUAACUGUAUGUAAAUGAAGUAGAUGGGUACGUAUGAAGGUAUGUAUACGUAUCCGUAUCACAAGAUUAAAAUAUUUUUGU